AUUGCCACUGCCUACUACAUGCUUUCCUAAUCUCUUAGCUAGAUUAUUGCAAUUGCCUCCCACUCCCAAUAUAUCCUUCUCACUACCUUCCAAGAGUGCUUUCUUACUAGAAAAUCAGUUUAUGUUGGUCUCUUGCUUAAAAUUUAUUAUUGGCUACCUAGAGCCUUUAUGUUUAUGUUUCUCUGCAUAACCUAAAACUCUUCCUUCUUGUGUUAUCUCAGUUCUCACCUUUAUCUUCCACAUAGCCAAGUCUUUCUGAGUUACUGGCUAUUUCCCCAAAUGUCUCAUGUUCUAGUAUGCAUUUAUGCCUUUGUACCCUUACUCCCUCUGGCUGGAAGGACUUCAUUUUGUCUGCUUGAAAACAUGCUAGUCAUUCUUACAUUUCACCUGCUGUUUGACCUUACCUUUAAAUCUUCACUGACUAUCAGGCAAAUUUAGAUAUUCCCUACUUUGUAUCUCCUCUCUUCCUUGCACUUACUUCCAUUUACUUUCUGUCAUUCUUUUUCCCCCACUUAAUUGUAAGUCCUUUAAAGCAAGGAUCAUGUCUUUAUGUCUUCAUAGUCUAAGUGCCUAACAAUGGUUGGCACCUAAUAGGUAUGCAUUUAAAUACAGACUAAAAGGCAAUAAAAUAAAAGCAAACACAUACUUGCCCUUAUAUGAUAUCUUAGCCAGGUUUCUCCAGCAGGCAAAACUAGAUGAAAAAGAAAUCAUGCAUCCCUACUUUAUCAAUAAGUGUAAUUCCAGAGAACCAAUGAAUGAAGGAGGAGGCUUUUGAAAUAGGAAAGGCAGGAAAGUCAAUAUGGCUGGUAGAUCAUGAGCUGGUUACUAUAAUUGAUUGCUUUUCUGCAUAGAGUUGUCAUUUGAGAGACCAUAUUGCAUUAUAAUGAGGUCCAUACCAAUGACAGAAGGGAGAAUAAUACAUCUACUGGCUCUCAACUCUCAUUAGACAAAGUAUUCUCUGUGGAACAUUAAUCCUCAUCCACUUCCAACAUAUAUGGAAAUGGGUGUUGAACAGGUUAUGUAGCACUUAAUGCAUCAAGACAACAAAAAUCUCUGGAGCAAGAGGAAAGAGGCAUGUGACAGUGGCAUGAAGCAAGAAGUUGUCAUAUUGUGACUGGAACAAAAUGAAUGGACAAGGGGCCAAAGAAAGUUGUGCCUGGGAAGAUCUGAAGCAGUGUGCAAGAGUUCUCUGAUACAGCCCAACUCUUGAACCACUCCAAUACCCUUUUACUCUAUUCAUGUCUGGUUCCCGUUCUACAGUAAAGCCUUUUUUGGGGGUUGGGGGGGGGACAGAGUUUCACUCUUGUUGCCCAGGCUGGAGUGCAAUGGCACGAUCUCGGCUCACUGCAACCUCUGCCUCCUGGGUUCUAGCGAUUCUCUUGCCUCAACCUCUUGAGUAGCUGAGAUUACAGGCACACACCGUCAUACCCGGCUAAUUUUUGUAUUUUUAGUAGAGAUGGGGUUUCAUGUUGGUAAGGCUGGUCUCGAACUCCUGACCUCGUGAUCCACCCACCUUGGCAUCCCAAAGUGCUGGGAUUACAGGCAUAAGCCAAAUGCUUCCGUUUUUAAGAGAAAAAUAUAACCCCCACUUCCCCCAAGAUGAUAUGAUAUGAGUUUAAAUAGCUGACUAGCCAUAGCCUCUGAAAUGUUUUAAUGCAAAUGAAAUAAGCCAUACUCCCUGAUAUUGCAGCUGAUCCUGAAGACACAUCUGAGUUUCAUCAUCUUCCUCCUAUACUCUCCAAACAGAGUGACAUCACCUUCACCAGCACUUUGUUCUUUGGUCAGAUUGAAUAACACAUCCUCAUGGAAUAAGCACCAGCCACACUGCAGUCUACCAAUAUGCCUUGCACACUUGCACAAAUGCUGCCAGAGUGACAUCCCUGCUGGGUCGACUGAAUACCAUCUCAUUUCUCACUUACACAAUCAAUGAUUCCUUCUCUUCUUCCCUUCUGCAUGGACACUUUGCUGAACAUAGUUUUGUUUUUGCUGGCCUGACUAGAAAAAAAAAAAAAAGACUUGUUUAGGUAAGAUGCUUAAUUAACCAAUGAAUAGUGCUCUCUUGUUCCUUUCAAGCUGUCUCCCGCAUUUUAAAUUUACUGGACAAUGCUAGUAAACUCAAAUGGGACCUAAUGGUUUUCCUUGGGGAUAGAGAAAGUUAGAAAAUUGCUAAGUAAACACAGCAUAGUGAAGACAAAGCAAUGCCAAAUUCAAAUCUUAAUGAUACCACACACAUUACACAGGUAGUAAAGGAGAGGAUGUCAACAACGUUUGCUUUUUCAUACACAUUAAAAUUUUUAAGAGCUAACUGUUCCAGGAGCAACCAUGUCAAAUCUUUUUAUGCACAAAAUGAUUGAAAAAUGAAACAUAAAAAUAUUUUCUUAUUUGUAUUAAAGAUUCCAGCCUCUCAGACACAUAAUCUGAAGGUUUUUUUUUUUACUUCUUUUUAAUCAGAAUUUUCUUCUUGAAUCCGGAAGUCAAUCCUCCAUUCAUAAUUUUAAAACUUUUUGAAUUAUAUGCUUUAGCCUUUCUAAAUCUGAUUUUUAUUUCAUAGGAAGGAGGAGAAACCUAUUACAAGUGGGCAUUGUGAUUUUAUAAUCUUAGGGUACAUUAUUUUCUCCAAGUAUGUCCACCUGCCUUUAACAAAUAUAUUUAUUUCAUCCUUAUUGACUCUUUAUUAUUAGUUCUGUCUUUGGAUAAGAGUCUGUUCUUUUCCAGGGAACAUGUCCUCAUUUUUUUUCUUUGUUAAGGCAUUUUCUUUUGUAGUAGCUGGCAAUUUGUGACUUCACCACACACUUGGCAGAUAUCCUUAUUCCUCGUAAUGAUCACAUCAACAUCAGCAAUGAAUAUCAAUGAUAAUGAUGUCCCUCUUCAGGCUCUUUCCUAGGCUGAUGCAUCUGGCCUCCUUGAAUGGCAUUCAUUAGAACCAGGCACCAAGAUAAUAAUACACCGAAGCCAGUGAUGCCAGCCUUUCUCUCUUUGACCAAUUACCUCCUGGACCUUGUUCAAAUGGAAACCAAACCACCCUGAAUAACUUUACUCAUUUGUAGAAGUUAGGAAAAUACAUGAGAAGCUACAAAUAAAACCUCAGAGUUCUUUUUUUGGACGUUAUAAAGAGAUGUUCAUUCUAACUAUAUAAUAUCAGCAUUUUCUUAUGCCAUUAUUUGUCAGCACUGCAGAGCAGAGAAUGAGUUUUAUACAGAUAUUCAAAGUGAUAGUGUAUAAAGUAUUGAAAGUUUAGGGCAUAUAUUUAUAUCCUCAACUGUAGGAUAACCUGAUGGUCAUUAAAUUAAAGUCUAGGGCUAUAGUAAUAUUGGAUUAAGAGAGAUUUCUGAACUGUUAUAUCAAUCAAAGUUAUACGAAUUUGAUGAUUAGUGGCUAUAUCACUCAGACAAUUAUCACAAUAUAAUUCUGUAAUGAAUAACAAUAAAAAUAAAGCGUAGUAUUAUGAUACUCAUAUAGGAUGCCCGAUUAUUAUUUUUUCAGUACAACAUGGUAACUGGAAAAUAAACACAGUAAAGAAAUAGAGUUAUUAGCAACACUACAAAACCAGAUUGUGAAUGAGUCAAAAUGUCAGAGUGAUGAUAAGUGUUUGUGGAAAGCAGCUGGAGAUCCUAAUUAAAUCAUAGUUUACACACUUUGAUAGUACUGAUUUCUGACAUUGACAUGUAUACAAAACAUACCAUAUGGUUGCCAUUUUAUAGGCAUAUUUUUACAUAUAUGUUUGUAUGCAUAUAUAGAUAUACAUAUAAGCAUAGAUGUAGACCAAAACUCCUCAUAAAAAGCUUAGCACAACUUUAAAUAAUUUUACACCAACCAUAUAAUCUUUGUUAACUGAUAUUCUGCUAAUCAUAUCUUUCUUUUAAUUGGUGUUUCAGAACAUGUACAGUAACAUUAUGUUUAAUGAUAUUGUAGGAUAGCUUAACAAUUUAAAAAUGGAUUUUGGAGUUAUUGCUUAGAAACCAAAGAAAGGAAAUUAUUUGAGAACUACAAUAGGGUUUCACCAGAAUAUUCCAUUUUUAACAACACCAGGUAACAAGGAGUUAGUAUUUUUAUGUUAGUCAUACAUUUACUUAUGUUCACUGAUAUCUGCCUUUUAUCUCAAUUAACUUAUAAACUUCUCAAGGACAGGGCAUUUGUUAAAAAUAUUUGUUUCUAUGUCUGGUUAUGGUCUUUCAAUAUAGACUGAAGGUUCAUCUCAAAUGAUAAAUGUAACAUGAAAUCACCUCAUAGAUUGUGCUAAUUUAGAUACUAUUCUGUGUUAGCUGUGGUAGCUCAAUUAAGCUGUACACCCAGUGCCAUAGGCAACAGACAUCCAAGUGUUAGGUCUACCCAGAAGUAAAAGGAUCAGGAGCUACUCACAUAUUGGAGAAGAAUCUCAUCAACCAUGAGCUUGGCACACAUGAAUAAGUAAGUCAUUGUAAAACUUUGUUAAAAACGUUUUAAUUUUGUUCAAAUGUUUUAAGUGUUUAGAGAAAAAAAGUUUUGGUUCCUAAAGAGAACUACAAUAAAACAAA
rnacentral:lncRNA from 10 species